rnacentral:rRNA from 1 species
UACGUAGGGGGCAAGCGUUGUCCGGAUUUAUUGGGCGUAAAGAGCGUGUAGGCGGCCAGACAGGUCCGUUGUGAAAACUCGAGGCUCAACCUCGAGACGCCGAUGGAAACCGUCUGGCUAGAGUCCGGAAGAGGAGAGUGGAAUUCCUGGUGUAGCGGUGAAAUGCGCAGAUAUCAGGAGGAACACCGGUGGCGAAGGCGGUUCUCUGGGCAUGUUCUGACGCUGAGGAGCGAAAGUGUGGGGAGCGAACAGG